GAUGAACGCUAGCUACAGGCUUAACACAUGCAAGUCGAGGGGAAACGGCAUUAAGUGCUUGCACUUUUUGGACGUCGACCGGCGCACGGGUGAGUAACGCGUAUCCAACCUUCCCAUGACUAAGGGAUAACCUGCCGAAAGGCAGACUAAUACCUUAUGGUCUUCACUGACGGCAUCAGAUGUGAAGUAAAGAUUUAUCGGUUAUGGAUGGGGAUGCGUCUGAUUAGCUUGUUGGCGGGGUAACGGCCCACCAAGGCAACGAUCAGUAGGGGUUCUGAGAGGAAGGUCCCCCACAUUGGAACUGAGACACGGUCCAAACUCCUACGGGAGGCAGCAGUGAGGAAUAUGGGUCAAUGGGCGAGAGCCUGAACCAGCCAAGUAGCGUGCAGGAGGACGGCCCUAUGGGUUGUAAACUGCUUUUGUAUGGGGAUAAAGUCAAUCACGUGUGAUUGUUUGCAGGUACCAUACGAAUAAGGACCGGCUAAUUCCGUG
rnacentral:rRNA from 1 species